ACGAACGCUAGCGGCGCGCUUAACACAUGCAAGUCGAGCGGAAAGGCCCUUCGGGGUACUCGAGCGGCGAACGGGUGAGUAACACGUGAGCAACCUACCCUUGGCUCUGGGAUAACCCCGGGAAACCGGGGCUAAUACCGGAUAUCCACGCACCACUGCAUGGUGGUGCGUGAAAAGUUUUUCGGCUGGGGAUGGGCUCGCGGCCUAUCAGCUUGUUGGUGGGGUAACGGCCCACCAAGGCUUCGACGGGUAGCCGGCCUGAGAGGGCGACCGGCCACACUGGGACUGAGAUACGGCCCAGACUCCUACGGGAGGCAGCAGUGGGGAAUAUUGCACAAUGGGCGCAAGCCUGAUGCAGCGACGCCGCGUGAGGGAAGAAGGCCUUCGGGUCGUAAACCUCUUUCGGCAGGGACGAAGCGAAAGUGACGGUACCUGCAGGAGAAGCGCUGGCCAACUACGU
rnacentral:rRNA from 1 species